AUUGAACGCUGGCGGCAUGCUUUACACAUGCAAGUCGAACGGUAACAGGCCUUCGGUUGCUGACGGGUGGCGAACGGGGGAGUAAUGCAUCGGAACGUGCCCAGUGGUUGGGGAUAACGCAUCGAAAGCUGUGCUAAUACCUCAUGUGAUCUGAGGUUUAAAACGGGGGGCCACGCAGCAAUGUUUGGCCUCUCGCGUCUGUAACAGCCGAUGUCGGAUUAGGUAGUUGGGUGGGUAAAGGCCUACCAAGCCGACGAUCUGUAGCUGGUCUGAGAGGACGACCAGCCACACUGGGACUGAGACACGGCCCAGACUCCUACGGGAGGCAGCAGUGGGGAAUUUUGGACAAUGGGCGCAAGCCUGAUCCAGCAAUGCCGCGUGCGGGAAGAAGGCCUUCGGGUUGUAAACCGCUUUUGUAAGGAACGAAAAGGCUCUGGAUAAUCCAUGGGGCUGAUGACGGUACCGUAAGAAUAAGCAACGGCUAACUACGUG
rnacentral:rRNA from 1 species